ensembl:snRNA U6 U6 spliceosomal RNA
GUGCUCGUUUCAGCAGCACAUAUAUGAAGAUUGGAAAAAUACAGAGAAAAUUAGCAUGGCCCCUGUGCAAGGAUGACAGGCAAAUCUGUGAAGCAUUCCAUUUAAAA